UACGGAGGGUGCAAGCGUUGUCCGGAUUUAUUGGGUUUAAAGGGUGCGUAGGCGGGCCUUUAAGUCAGUGGUGAAAGCCGACAGCUUAACUGUCGAAAUGCCAUUGAUACUGGGGGUCUUGAGUACAGUAGAGGUAGGCGGAAUUAAUGGUGUAGCGGUGAAAUGCAUCGAUACCAUUAAGAACACCGAUUGCGAAGGCAGCUUACUAUAGUGUAACUGACGCUGAGGCACGAAAGUGUGGGGAUCAAACAGG
rnacentral:rRNA from 1 species